GAGUUCUUUGCGAGCUGGGCUGUCACGGCUUCGUCAAUUAAUUUACGCAGGCAGGUAUAAAAUUUCACGAGCUCUGAUAGCCACUUGGUUUAUUGGUGAGCUGCUAACGGUUCAAUCCAGUGAACAACAUGGGCAUUGCUUUUGCUUUCAAUUAGCCAAAAUAAGCUGUCUGCACUCAAGCUUUUGUCUUCACUUUAGAAAUCGAAGUCAGCCUUUUGUUUGUUUGUUGAAACUCCUGUAUGUACCUCAUUUUUUUUAGUGUUGUGUGUGAAAUAGAACCAUUGGGGUCAUUUUACCAAGUGGAUCUCUGAGAUGAAGUGAGAAUUUGCUCAAGUAAUAUACAACAGGAGGCACAAAGACUUGGUGAUA